CCUACGGGAGACUGCAGUCGAGAAUCAUUCACAAUGGGGGAAACCCUGAUGGUGCGACGCCGCGUGGGGGAAUGAAGGUCUUCGGAUUGUAAACCCCUGUCAUGUGGGAGCAAAUUAAAAAGAUAGUACCACAAGAGGAAGAGACGGCUAACUCUGUGCCAGCAGCCGCGGUAAUACAGAGGUCUCAAGCGUUGUUCGGAAUCACUGGGCGUAAAGCGUGCGUAGGCUGUUUCGUAAGUCGUGUGUGAAAGGCGCGGGCUCAACCCGCGGACGGCACAUGAUACUGCGAGACUAGAGUAAUGGAGGGGGAACCGGAAUUCUCGGUGUAGCAGUGAAAUGCGUAGAUAUCGAGAGGAACACUCGUGGCGAAGGCGGGUUCCUGGACAUUAACUGACGCUGAGGCACGAAGGCCAGGGGAGCGAGAGGGAUUAGAUACCCCUGUAGUC
rnacentral:rRNA from 1 species